UGACUUUGCUGUCUUAACAGUUAAUUUGUAAAUUUCCUCGUAAAUAGUGCAGCUCACUUUGCCUUAGACUCCUUUAGAUUUUCAGCUAAAUGAUAUAUAUCUACAAAUUGCAUUAGCAGCAAUUUAAUUGCGCAAACUGUUUGCGCAAUAAAUAAAAGCUGAUUGCAUAAACCAAGAAAAUUCAGGGAGCUCAAGCACAAAGGCUUGAGUGUUGAGGAUUAAAUGAAAUGAAUACAAUCCUAAAUACCAUAUAUGUAUAUACAGAUAUGUGCAUGUAGAUUGGGGCAGUUCAAGGCCAACUGUAAUCAAGCAAUCAAUCAAAAUGCAGUCCAGCCAAGGUUUGCCUUUAACCCUUUAUGCAAUAGCCACCGACUCGCCACAAUCCUGCCUCCUGCGCCGCGAACAAUGCAUAAUUACUGAUAAUGAUUUGUGCAUUGUUAACGUUGCGGUCUAUUGUUCUGGUCUGGCUUGGGCUGGCAGCACUACGAAGGGCCCCGCAAGGGAAUGCGAAUGAGCAUGAGAAUUGGGCCUGCCUGGCCAAGUCCUGCCCAAUGGAUCGCCUCGUCAGCGGAGCUUAGUUAUGAGAUGCGACUCAAUGGGUUCUCCACGCAGGCCAUACAAGAUGUUGUCUUCUUUUUGUUGAUUUCUUUUUCUUAGCUGCUUUCAGCAGGCGUCGACGAUAAAAUAAUAAAAAUUGAUUUGAGCGAUGGCGAUAAAAUUUUACAACAGAA